rnacentral:rRNA from 1 species
AUUGAACGCUGGCGGCGUGCUUAACGCAUGCAAGUCGAGCGAUGGAACUUCUUCGGAAGUGGAUUAGCGGCGGACGGGUGAGUAACACGUGGGCAACCUGCCUCAUAGUGGGGAAUAGCCUCUCGAAAGGGAGAUUAAUACCGCAUAAGAUUGUAGUUCCGCAUGGAACAGCAAUUAAAGGAUUUAUUCGCUAUGAGAUGGGCCCGCGGCGCAUUAGCUAGUUGGUGAGGUAACGGCUCACCAAGGCGACGAUGCGUAGCCGACCCGAGAGGGUGAUCGGCCACAUUGGGACUGAGACACGGCCCAGACUCCUACGGGAGGCAGCAGUGGGGAAUAUUGCACAAUGGGGGAAACCCUGAUGCAGCAACGCCGCGUGAGUGAUGACGGUCUUCGGAUUGUAAAGCUCUGUCUUUAGGGACGAUAAUGACGGUACCUAAGGAGGAAGCCACGGCUAACUACGUGCCAGCAGCCGCAGUAAAAC